AAGCAGCGGACCCUUCAGUGCACCAGCUUUAUAAAGUGAUCUCCCGCCGAAACCGAAACAAAGCGCAAAGUUGAUUGAUCGCGGAAGUUUUCUCGACUUGAUCAGACUAGAGAUCUGGUGAAACCCAAAGCGCGAUGCCAGCAGCGCAUGACGGCUGAGACGCACUUCUCUCGCCAGCGCUGGAAUGGACGCGCCUCUCGCCGGAGCACCAGCUCAAACUAGACCUAAAGCGCGUAUUUAAGGUUGUUGGGUUCUUUUGCCUCGCUCGGACCGCUGUUGAAGUUUUCUGUGAGAAACAUGUAAGAGGCGUUGGACGCCGCUGGACCAUGUCCAUCUUUCCAAGCCUUGACUGGUGCGCGCCAGAGUCCCUCAUCAUCCCAUGGUCAAUGUGUGUGAACAGGCCUGCUGUCUGUGUGACUGUCAUGCUGCUGCUCGCAGCGGCCCACAGUAAACGUGCCUGUGAUUAUACUGCCAUCAUCAGCACCUACAGGGCUCUCAUCCUGGUUGAGCUCCAGAACCUGAAUCUGACUGGUGCAUUUGACUUGUCAAAAGAAAAGGACCACUGUCCGUCUGAGAAGGUUCACCGUAUCCUGCGAUAUAUCUAUAAUAUGACCCAGAUCUUCAGCUGCUUGAGUGAGCGGCAGAGACAGCAUGCAGAUCACAUGACGAAGGUGGUGGGACAGAUGGAGCUGCUCAUCACACGAAACUGCCGCAAACCAGAGAGACUGGCAAGUAGACGGAAAAAAGCAUCUUGCAAACCAGGGAAGAAAGCCCAAGGAAGACAGCGGCGGAGAGUGCAAAUGCUGGGAAUGCUUAUAAACUGCUGGCAGAGGCUGCUGAGUGUGACCGCUUAUUAAAUUACAGCAUACACAGGUCUCAGUUCAGCUCCACUACACAUUAUUUAAAACAUUAUGCACAAUAACUUUCCCUUCAUCGUUAUUUAUUCACUUUCACUUUUUAAUAAAAAAGAAACACCGAGUGUUUUGUAUAAUACU
ensembl:lncRNA